UGUAUAUCUAUUAUCUACACUAUUAAAAUUAUCAGCUCAAUUUUUUUUUAGGCAAGCCCUAGUGCUGGAAAUGCAUCCAUAGCUUCUGUAUUCAACUCACCUUCGACUUCAAGAACUAACAGACCGAAACAGCGUAGGAUUUUAUCUAAAGAUAUCAUUAUGUCCAUGGAGCAAUGUCGUGAAACCAGACACUCACAAAUACUUUAUAAAUCACUCUUAUAAUUAAUGCCUGCAUUGUUUGUUUAAUUAAUAUUUAAUUUCAUUGGA